rnacentral:rRNA from 1 species
GAGCACUGGAUGAACUAGGGCCCAUACCCGGGUACCGAAUUCAAUCAAACUCCGAAUGCCUUGGGGUGUAAUCCGGGAGUCAGUGCGCGAGGGAUAAGCUUCGUGCGCGAGAGGCAAACAUGCCAGACCAGCAGCUAAGGUGCCUAAAUACCGCGUAGUGGAAAGGAGGUGGAGAUACUUAGACAAUGAGGAUGUUGGCUUAGAGGCAGCCACCAUUUAAACAAUGCGUAAUAGCUGACUCAUCGAGCGAUGUUGCGCCGAAAAUGAUUGGCGAUUAAAUCAUAUACCGAAGCUGCGGAUUUACAGAGGAUUCGUCCCCUGUAAGUGGUAGGAGAGCGUAGUCAACGUUGUGAAGCUCGACGGUAACGGAAAGUGGAGCGUUGACUAGUGAGAAUGCAGACAUGAGUAGCGAUUAGCCAGAUGAGAAUUCUGGCCGCCGUAUACCCAAGGUUUCCUGGGCCAGGUUCGUCCUCCCAGGGUUAGUCGGG